GAGUGUGUGUGUAUGUGUGUGUGACUGCGUGCUCUGUGUGCCAGCGUCUGAGCUCUCUCCUCACAGCCUGCAUGCGGAGCCGCGGCUCGGAUUGCGCUCUGCCAGGCGCCUCUCGCAGCUCUCAUUUGAGCGAGCAGCUGCGACACGCACACACACUUUCUCUCUCCCAUUCUCCUUUCUCUUGCACGCUCCUGCGGACUCUCGUGGAGGGAGAUUUAAUGCACAUGCAACUAGCGCGAAGGACGUCCUGACUUCCUAAAACUCUCCAGGAGAAAGCCUUCUCUUGCCCUGCGUGCCACAGAUGUUUUUCUAAGUUGCUCCCGCAGACAGGAAUCUACUCGCAAGACGAAAGCCACGCUCUCCCCCAGGAGAGGAGUACAAAGGCCAGUCUGCACGUGGCAGAUGCAAAAUCAAGUCCAUCUGCUACGGGCUUCCCUUCACCACAUGGAGAUUGAAAAGACUUUGGACACCCAAGGUAAAUGAGGACAAAAAAAUUCCUGCAGCGGCUCUUAAACGUGUACAGAGGAAAGUGUUGGGCUGCGGGAGGGGGGAUGGGGACUUGUGCGGUGGCAACACUGGUGUAGCAAUCUCUCUCCAAGCGAUGGCAUCAUUUCCAAGGCAACCCCUCUAACUAUUAAUUUUCAAUGAAAGCAGACACAGAAUGCCCUACCCUGAGCCUACAUAAGGUGUCAAGAGCCUGUCUACGAACUCUACACUCUUUUGCAGGGGGGAACCGAGCCUUAAAGGAACCAUGUUGACACUGGGCUGGUUCAAAGUAACACAAUCACAACACUGAAUACACCAACUAAGUCCUGCUUUCUACAAAUGCACCAUUCAUUCCCAGUCGAAAAACAUGCGGAUUAAUCUAAACGCAUGCCGAUUAAUCGAUCAAUCGAUCAAUCAAUCUACUAUUAGUGUUAUUAAUUGUUAAAGAAAAUAAAAUUACAAAAAUUGAGAAUUUUGAGUCAAUAUUGUGAAAAAUUUAUAUAAAAUAAUCUUUUUCAUUUUUACUUUUUUCCAAGAGACGGAUAUGAAACAUUUCUUUAUAAGAUGGAUAUGAAUCAUUUCUUUAUAAGGGCAAACAUAUUACAACUGUGUAAAAGCAGUAUAAAAUAACUCAUUUGCUGUCAUUAAAUAUGUAUAUA